CGCCGCGACCGCCUGUGAAAGGAUUCUCUAUUUUGUUUACCUGCUGUAUCACGGGGGGUCCGCAGGAGAGUGGCAGGGUGUUAUUUUUUAAUGGUUCUUUUUUUGCGAUCAGCUGUGAAAACGUUACAAGUCUGCACAAUGUUUAGGUGUGCGUGCGUGUGUGAUUUCGUUAUUUUAUCCCCCCCCUCCGGCGGGCGAGGGGCGUUCCUUCCUUCCCGGGCUCUGUCUGGGUCGGCGCUGCCCCGCAGUGCCCCGCUCCGAGCGGCACACGCCCCCCACCCCCCGCACCCCGUGCCCGCAGUGCCUUCCCCGCACCCCGUGCCGGCCGGUGCCAACCUGUGAGCGCCGCAGAAUCCCCUUCUCUGCCACUCCGAACCCACGCGCAGUUCCCUCUCUGUAAUCGUGCCGAACAGGCCAGGACAAAAGGGCCCAUUGUUGGUGGGAUUUGUUUCUUAUUGCCACCCGAGCCUCUUAGCUGUAAUUUCCACGUCUUGCAAGUUUGGCCUUCAUUUACUUCAAAUUUGUGAGAAUUCAGCAUUUUGGGACUUGGAGCGGUGGGCUUUUUUUUCCGCCUCCUUCUUUGUGUUUUAUGAUGGUUGUUGUGUGGGGUGAGCCUCCAGCCAGCAGCGGAAGAAAUCUCAACAUUGCAACGUACCAAGAAAAUUCUAACACCUGUCCUUUUGAUUCCAGACCUGCAGUUAAGAGAUGUCUAUCCAUUUUAAGAAUUUUAAUACAAAUGCUGUUUUUUAGAAAACAACUUUGUGCGCUUUUAUGUACGACGUGGAACAAACGUUAAUUGUUAAACAUUAAUUAGAUAGGCUGUUAAUAGCAUGGUCACAGUAAGAAGGGCGUGAGGGGCUUCAUUUAGCUGAGGAUGGUGUUUAAACAAAAAGACCAAAUGCCAAAGCCCAAGAUGACUAAAUAGCCAGUGGAACAGUAACACAGAAUUUCAUUUGUGUUUGGGUCCUGAUCCCGUGUGAAGGCAGCGCCGCGCUCAGUGGGCAGCUGUAGGAAGUCCUGUGUUGUAACAGCAGCGUCACGUAAGGUUGGCACACUGGUCUUCGCUAUGGGCGGCCCAGUUUGGUAGAGCAGAAGUCUGAAAGUCAGUUAUUUAUGACAUCUCUUUGCAUUUAAUGCCUCGAAAUUGUGGUUUCCUGAUUUGAAGAGGGAGCGGGGUGGGAGGAGGUACCUUCAGUGAGCUGGGGCACCUGGGCUUUGCUGAUCUCCCUUACCUUUCUCUCUUAGCUCCUCUUCAAAGACCAGCACACAAAGUGCAGCUUUUUCCCCGUGCCAAGAAAACUUGAAAUUGUCUUUCUGUGUGAAAACAGAAAUUGAGCAAUGCUGCAUGAAGGGUUUUUAGUUAGGCCAGUGCAAUCUGACUGCCUCGAUGCCCGGCGUAGAUCCGAUGUUUCUCCUUUUAAGUAGGAAAGCUUUCUGCUUCAGCGCUGGUAGAAGUGGCUUUAGUUAAAUUCACCCCAAUGAUUGACAUUAAAAUGACAAUAUUAUGUUUUAGUUGAAGAUGGGAUAUUGAUUUUAGCAACAUCCAAUACCUACUAAAAAAUUGGAUGCUGAGUAUUAGGGGCUUCUUUUAACAAAAAUGACGUGUUGGAAAGAAAGACUGCAGGCAUAUCUUGCACUGAAGUUUACGGAAGAAAAUUUGCCAUAAAUUCACAUCUCAGCUAUUGCGAUGGUCAACGUUUGCCUUAAAUUCAGUGAGACUGUGUAGUGUUCAGCACCUAACCGGCCUCGUGCCAGAUCGAUGUACUGGAAGCAAGUCGUUCAGCUUGGUAAAAGCAGUUCUCUGCAGCAGGCAGCAGAUUUGUCAUGUUUCGUAGUGCCUCCUGUUUUCCUAUUGCCUGUGUUGUGAUUGAGGAAUGAUGUACAAAUGGAUGUAAGUAGCAUACGGUGGGACGCAGAGUCCCGUGUUCCUUAGCCUGGCAGAGCAGCUGAAGGCAACUAAGGAAACUCUGGACUGUGCUGUUGUUUUUUUGUAGCUAUACUCUUAAUUCUUGCCAAAAAGGUGCGUUCGUCAAACGGCGAAGGAUUAAAGAAACCACGGCGUGGGUCUGACCGGAGUUCUGAAUGUAUUGAGGUGUUCAGUGUUCUCUGCGACUUGGUGAGGACAGCACAAAAGUAGAACUCAGCGUUUGAUCUUCCAAAUCCUCUGAAGUGUUCUGGUGCUUGUUAAACAUAGGCCUUGUCUAUCAAGUAGAAACAAAAUCACACUGCUUUAACUUGACUGAAUAAUGAAAGCUAUAUUUGCUUCUACACUAGAAAAAAAAUGUUGUAUCAAUAUAAAGGUACUCUUUUAUUCCUUUUCCCUGUGGGAAUAUGUUAUACCAGUGUCAAUGCAAAGGUGGUAUAUAGUUCUUUUCACAGUGAGAAUUGCAAAAAAGUAAUCGAUUUGGAAGAAAAAUUACAUUCCCAGCCAGAAUACUUCCUGACAGUGCAGAAAUUGUAUAAACAAGGCCUUGGUUUAAGGCUGGUCUUAUGACCACAUAUUUUGCUGUACAUAAUGAUGGUAUUUUUAAAAAUCCAAGCUUGUUCUAUCGCCAGAAAGCAUGCCUUUGAAAUCCCAGUCUCUGUGAUUGUAACCAUGCCGUAUUCCGGACUUUGUUGCAAAUACAAGUGUGGUUCUCCCAACCCCGUGCUCAGGCUCUGUUGAUGUGUGCAGUUCUGAGGGUGACGCUCAGUGCUCUGGCUGUGGGAUUCCUGGAGGUUCUGCUGCUCUCAAAAGAAUGUGUGGCAGGCUUUUCUCAAGGAGCAUUUAUUUUCAAUAAAGGGCAGCUGGCUCUUUGUGACUUCUUCAUCUGGACCCUCCUUGCGUGCAGGUGUUGCUAAGUAUCGCGUUGCCUCGAGGAGUGACAAAAUGCAAGAACUUCCAUUUUCCCGAGAGCUUUGUGUGAAAAGGAGCAGCGUGCGUGUCCUUGAGUCCUCUGCCAUUCAGAGUAACGGGCAGCUCCCCUGGGCGGCCGUGGGAAGGUUUGGAGCAGUGAGCCACGAGGAGCUCUGUGACUCACAGAUGAGCAGAGCAGGCAGCCCAGGAGCCUUUGUGGCAGAGCUUUGCUGUACCCUGGAGGACUGCUGCCAUGAGCGCCCAUUCGUGGGCUGAAGAGAGGCUGCUCUGGAAGCAAGUAUGUGUGUGAGCUCUGUCGAAGGUGGGAUGGUCUUCAGUAAUGGCCUUCGCAGCCCAGAGCCUCCUCCCGCAGCAUUUAUAGCUUUGUACAAAACGUGUACGUCAAAAAGGCUCUUCUGUCAUAUUGCUGUAACCCCGUGGUCUGAAAUCUCAUUUUUUAGGAAUUCAACAUCUGCAUGGCUCCUAAAAUCUUUUAUUUGGAAGUGAGGAACUCUGACAAACGUAUGCAUACAUAUGAGAGUGAUGAAAUAGCAGGAUGGUUCGAAUGGUUAAAGGUGCCUAAGUGAGCUGAGUGCUGACGCCUGGGGUGCGGCGCUGGGCCGCCUUGGUUCGGCUUUAAGCACGCCUCACACUGUGCCAGUCUGUAAUGGAGAAGCUCUCUGUGUUUCCCAAGGAAGAGUGGUUGUGUGGGGUGUGUGCUUCUGCGUUUCUUCUGACACGGCUGGAGUCAAAACUCAGCCUUAGCACCAGUGGCCUCAGCCUCUGUGCUCUCCGUGCUGCAUACAGUCACUACGGCGUGGAGAAAACACGCAGUGAAACCUCAACUGGUCGAGAGAUACUGACAUUAAAAUUUCUCUGUAGCAGUCUUAUUUUGCGGGGGGUAUGAGUGCUCUCAUGCACACUGGGUGCCGAUUUAAUAUUGUUGAUGCCAAGCGUGGUGAUUCACGUAGCUGACAUACUGUGCAAAAACCAAACACUAUAGAUAAACACUUAAUCUGCAAAAUCUAACAUGUCUUAGAUCCUAUCUAAAACACUGUAAAAUUAGAAGUGAAUUAACUAGAACUUGUAAGCUGUUCAAGUAAGUCUUAAAAGAUUGGAAGCAGAUGUUGUGCAGUAACUUUAAUAUCUCCACAGCAUCUGGGUCUCUGGGAAGUUUGGGCUCAGACAAAGCUAAGUGGUCCAGAGUCCAAAGCUUUGUUUUGAUAAUCUGGGCAGAGGGAGGUUUUUUGAGAGAGUGUGUCAGACGUGUAACUUCAGCUUUAGUGAGUUAAGAAAACAUUUUACUUCUACAAAAUUCUUUGGUUUUAAGGGAACAUUAUAAAAAGUGCCUAAUUAAUAGAUCUAAAGUCCAGGUAAUGAAUUUCAGAUGUUUCUGCUGCAAGAAAUCCCGUGGCAAACAGUCUGGUCAGUGACACUGAUUUUGGUGGUGUAUGGGAACCGCUGAAUCACGGCCUGAACCUCUGAUUGACCACCUGAGGCGAGCAGUGAGCCAGCCCUGGGAGCACAGGUGAGGGCAAUUCUGUGCCUGGCUGCGCCUCUCCUAGACCCAUUUAAGAGUUGACUGCUACUGGGGAAGGAUCUCUUCUGGAGAUCGCUUCUCUUGGAGUCUUCUCAGUGAGCCCAGGACAAGGGUAAGACCAUAAACGCUGAGCUGCAGGUGUACGUCUGCAUUUGACCUGCUGUUAUUAAUAGGCAGGAUUAACAGGUACGGACCCCAGCGUGGCUAUUUGGAAAGAAGUCUCAAUUUUGCCAUUAAAAGUUCUGCACUGCAGAUGUUCCCAGGAACGCAGCUGUCCGUGAACUGUGUGCCCACUGUGUUCUGCAGAGUGAGAGCAGACGGCAGAAGGAGGUGCACGUCCUGGGGCAGGGGGCAUGGCGCGUCCCUGCUCACAGCCAGCAUUUCAGUUCCUUGCCUUCUCGCUGUCUCCAGGCACCAUUAGCACCGCUAGCAGAGAGAGGAGGGGCAAGGCCUGACCUGCUGGCUGUGUCAGGUGCCCCAUCGCCCUGUGCCGUGCCGUGCCCUGCUUCUGGCUCCCUGCUUCAGUGUGGAACUCCUGCGUACUUGUAGCACACCUGCUCUGCUUUCCACACCUCCAUUUUUGCACUGCGUGUUUUGUCAAAGUAUCACUUUUGGUGCAGGUGUACUGAUUUCUCCUGAGACUUUCAGUCUGCAAUUGCAGUACCAAGUGAAAUAAAGGAAGAAGAUGGAGAGAGUCUGAGGAUGCUGCAGAAAUGUUUCUUGCAAGAGGAUGUGAGCUUUUUCCUUCAAGACAGAGGAAUAUCAAUAAUCCUUAAAAAUGUGUGCAGGAGGGACAGUGAUUUUACGUGAGGUGUUUCUGCAGGGAGUGUUCCUUCACAUGCAAAGGAAAAUUCUCUUCAGCUUAUUGUGAACAUUGCUCUUCCAGCAUGGCUGAGCAGCAGCAGCAGAGGCUGAGCGGCAGGAGAUGGGAGCAGCGGGUGCUGCCAAGUGCCUGCAGCCAAACCGGCACCUGGAGGUGCCCGCGGUUAUUGCAGGCUGCGCGACAACAGAACGCCUCCGCUGACCGAUACACAAACACAGGCAGCCGCUGUAUUAAUACAUGCUAGGCAGCAUGAAAGGUGGAAGAGGAACUGCAAAUUAGUUUAAAAUUAACAGUUACUUGGGGAAGUACCACAGGAGGAUCUGCCGUAGUCGUUCCCCUUGAUCAACCACUUAAGAAACAGUUGUUAUCGCUGCUCCUAGCAGCCCAGCAGUGAGGAGACCCAAACACCGCACCUCCUUCUUCUCCAGUCAACCUCCCGUUGCAAAUGAAAUUUGAAUGCCUUAAGAUGAGAAUUCACUGUGCUCUCAUCUGUGCCUGACUCCCAAAGGUUCUAAUGUGAGUGCAUUCAGGGCAAAAACCACAGCAGCCAUCCUCACAGAGUCGGUCUCCGGAUGGAUGUUUUUGGAUGUCAAUGCUUUGCUCAACAAUGAGAGUUGUGUUUGGGUUAAGCUCAAUUAAAUAAACAGUUUGGCUGAGGAAUAUUUUUAAAAGCUAACAUUUAAUUUCAGUGUUCAUUCAUAAUUUCAUUCAAUUACACAUUUUUGUAUUUUCU